rnacentral:rRNA from 1 species
GGGAAUCUUGGACAAUGGGGGCAACCCUGAUCCAGCGAUGCCGCGUGAGUGAAGAAGGCCUUAGGGUUGUAAAGCUCUUUCACCCGUGAAGAUAAUGACGGUAGCGGGAGAAGAAGCCCCGGCUAACUCCGUGCCAGCAGCCGCGGUAAGACGGAGGGGGCUAGCGUUGUUCGGAAUGACUGGGCGUAAAGGGCGCGUAGGUGGUUUUUCAAGUCAGGCGUGAAAGCCCCGGGCUUAACCGGGGAACUGCGCUUGAUACUGGAUGACUAGAGGACGAGAGAGGAAAGUGGAAUUCCGAGUGUAGAGGUGAAAUUCGUAGAUAUUCGGAGGAACAUCAGAGGCGAAGGCGGCUUUCUGGCUCGUAUCUGACGCUGAGGCGCGAAAGCGUGGGGAGCAAACG